rnacentral:rRNA from 1 species
GUGGGGAAUAUUGGACAAUGGGGGGAACCCUGAUCCAGCCAUGCCGCGUGUGUGAAGAAGGCCUUUUGGUUGUAAAGCACUUUAAGCGAGGAGGAGGCUACCGAGAUUAAUACUCUUGGAUAGUGGACGUUACUCGCAGAAUAAGCACCGGCUAACUCUGUGCCAGCAGCCGCGGUAAUACAGAGGGUGCAAGCGUUAAUCGGAUUUACUGGGCGUAAAGCGCGCGUAGGUGGCCAAUUAAGUCAAAUGUGAAAUCCCCGAGCUUAACUUGGGAAUUGCAGUCGAUACUGGUUGGCUAGAGUAUGGGAGAGGAUGGUAGAAUUCCAGGUGUAGCGGUGAAAUGCGUAGAGAUCUGGAGGAAUACCGAUGGCGAAGGCAGCCAUCUGGCCUAAUACUGACACUGAGGUGCGAAAGCGUGGGGAGCAAACAGGAUUAGAUACCCGUGUAGUCC